UGAGGAAUAUUGGUCAAUGGGCGAGAGCCUGAACCAGCCAAGUAGCGUGCAGGACGACGGCCCUAUGGGUUGUAAACUGCUUUUAUAAGGGAAUAAAGUGAGUCUCGUGAGACUUUUUGCAUGUACCUUAUGAAUAAGGACCGGCUAAUUCCGUGCCAGCAGCCGCGGUAAUACGGAAGGUCCGGGCGUUAUCCGGAUUUAUUGGGUUUAAAGGGAGCGUAGGCCGGAGAUUAAGCGUGUUGUGAAAUGUAGUGGCUCAACCUCUGCACUGCAGCGCGAACUGGUCUUCUUGAGUACGCACAACGUGGGCGGAAUUCGUGGUGUAGCGGUGAAAUGCUUAGAUAUCACGAAGAACUCCGAUUGCGAAGGCAGCUCACGGGAGCGCAACUGACGCUGAAGCUCGAAAGUGCGGGUAUCGAACAGGA
rnacentral:rRNA from 1 species